CGGACGGGUGAGUAAUGUCUGGGAAACUGCCUGAUGGAGGGGGAUAACUACUGGAAACGGUAGCUAAUACCGCAUAACGCCGCAAGACCAAAGAGGGGGACCUUCGGGCCUCUUGCCAUCGGAUGUGCCCAGAUGGGAUUAGCUAGUAGGUGGGGUAAAGGCUCACCUAGGCGACGAUCCCUAGCUGGUCUGAGAGGAUGACCAGCCACACUGGAACUGAGACACGGUCCAG
rnacentral:rRNA from 1 species